UGCAUUGAUGGGAGUGGGGUAUUAUACUAAACCUGGAAGGAUAAAGAAUGUUAGCAUGGCCCCUAUGGAAUAAUGACACACAAAUUGGUAAAGGAUUCUUAUUUUUA
rnacentral:snRNA from 1 species